rnacentral:tRNA from 1 species
CGAUCCUGCAUCAGGACGAGGUGCGCGACGUGUUCGCCGCGCAGCCGGGGCUCUCCCGGCUGGCGCGGCGGAUCGUCACCGCCUCGUUCGAC